UUAGGCUAUAGACUGAACUACAGACUAGACUAUACUUUAUUGACUAGACUAUAUUACACUAUAGACACCAGACUAUUAUCCAAACUAAAUAAUGAUAUAUAAAGAAUAUGUAAGAAUGUACUAUAGACCAGUCUAUAGCUUAAACCACAGUAUAGACUAUUGUCGAGACUAAAGUUUACAUUUAUAAACAAGAUUCUAGACCAGAAUAUAUAAACAAAAUAUUCACCAGACUUUUGACUAAUCCAGUCUAUAUGCACAACUAUAGACAAAACUGUAGCGCAGGCUAUAGACCAGACUAUUUAAGAGACUAUGAGUCAUAUUAUAGUUAAGACUAUAAAUCAAACUAUAGAUUAUGUUUAUCCGACACUUGAGGAAGAAUACCUUGUCAAUUGACCUUGACUAUACUUCAGACAAUAUUAUCAGACUAUCGACGUGACUAAUGUUCAACGUUUACACCAGACUUUAUAAAUGACUAUAGAUUUAUCUAUAAAUCGGACUAUAGACCAAACUAUAGAACAGUUAAAGUAAAAAUAUUGUCUAUUAACUAGACUAGGGACUAAACAGAUUUUAGUUUUAACUAUAGGUCAAACUAUAGAGCAGACAAUUGACGAUAAUAUAGUUUAAUUUUUCGAACAAUGUAUAUAUCCGAUAAGAGUUCAAUAUAUAGUCCAAAUUAACAUACAUACUACAGACGGUACAGCAUUCUAGUAAAAGGCUUAUUAUACACUUGAUUACAUUGUAUUCUAUAUAAAGAUAUUCUAAUGUUCUUAUACCCCUCUACCAUUUGACUAUUUUAGACUAUACAGCUGUCUAGUAAAAGACACAUUAUAUACUGGACUUCAUAUUUUAAAUUAAGUUAUAUGCCAAACUAUAGAGCAGACAAUUGACAAUACUAUAGUCAAACGUUUAUAACAAUGUAUAUAUCAGAUUAGAGAUCAAAAUAUAGUUCAGAUUAGUUAGUUAGUUUGAAAGUAGGAUGUACAUAAAUAUAUACAUUAAAUCCAAAGAAAUAAACCUAGCCCUCUAUUGGGACGGCUGUGUGCUCCUUAACUAGUGCUCCGGGUCGUAGAAAAUAAUACUUCUCCGAUACUAACAUAAACAUUUAACGUGUAGAGUGUUGUAACUAAAUUUCAGACUAAUUAUUUCACAGAUAACUAGAAGCAAAACUAAUAUUCAUAAUAAUGUCGGGAAUAUCAUAAAACUAUCAUACUGACGACAAAGAUUAGUCACGAUUUAUUUUAUGUCAUUUCUUUUUUUUCAACCAGAUAUACCAGACAUGUAAAUAAACUUUAAUUUUCAGCAACAAAAAAAAACCAACAAAAAAAAACCAACCAUAAAAUUUAUAAAUUCUUCAUAGACAUAACUAAAUUACUAUUUAUCUUUAUUUUAGUAAAAAAAAAAACAAUUAAACAAAAAUUGUUCGUAGAAAAACUAAGAAGAAAAAAACACACAUGUGAUGUGAAUAGCGAACGUUUCAAAUGACAUUUGGUUUUCAAUUUACACAUCGAACACAGUUGAAUAGUUUUCAAAUGAGCAAUAGAAGGAAGAAGACAGCAACGACUCGACAAGUCUGAUACUCAAACUACUUGAAUUUGACAUAAAAAUCGAAAAAGAUUUUUGUUUUAUGGCCCAUAUUGACAAAGCACUUAAAUAUGAUGUAAACAAGCCAACAGUUACACACUUCCAACAUGAUUAUUGGCAAGCAAAAGGUGGUACCCACAAAUACAACUGGACAACAUGCACUGAGAGAAAUUAAUUGUAAGAAAUAUAUAUUUUUGGUAAACCAACAAUAGUGCAACAACCCAUAGUGCAGUUGUUAAACAACAUGGAGAUGUGGAGAAAAACAAGAAUUUACACUAUAAUCUACAUAAUGUUUACAACUAGUUACCGCCAACUAAAAAAAAUUUAAAACAUUUUUUUUU
rnacentral:lncRNA from 1 species